UACGUAGGGGGCAAGCGUUGUCCGGAUUUAUUGGGCGUAAAGAGCGUGUAGGCGGUUCGGUAGGUCCGUUGUGAAAACUCGAGGCUCGACCUCGAGACGCCGAUGGAAACCCUCGAACUAGCAGUCCGGAAGAGGAGAAUGGAAUUCCUGGUGUAGCGGUGAAAUGCGCAGAUAUCAGGAAGAACACCCGUGGCUAAGGCGGUUCUCUAGUACGGUACUGAGCUGAGACGCGAAGCGUGGGAGC
rnacentral:rRNA from 1 species